AAGCUGCAUGUUUUGGUGCAUUGAAAUGUCUUGGAUUUGCAAAGACGUGGCACUUGUGGUGUCUUAAUCUCUUGAUUAAAACUUGAUGGUCGUGAGUGUAGCCCCGCCCCUUCGCCUCAAACGGCAUGGCGUACAUAACCAACAAAACUGAGAGCGGGUUUUACCAAUUGUGAAAGGCUAUCAAAAAAACUAUGGGCAGACCUACAUCAGUCGAUCAUUAAUGGCGUAUUAAAACCUUGUGGCAAUGGUCCAGGACACUGUGGGCCAACAAAGUACAGACUCAACAUCUGGACUAAGCGAUCCAGGCUCCAGAUGUUGUGACCCCACUGGGUGAUGGUAAAUCCCGCGGCUCAACCGUGCUCCGCAAACGGGCCGGUUCAAACUCCGCGGGUGGUCGCUGCCGCCGCCACAGCUCCGAGGCCGAGUCGGGUCUCCAUUGCCGCUGCCGCCGCCGCCGCCACAGCUCCGGGGCCGAGUCGGGUCUCCGCUACC